rnacentral:rRNA from 1 species
AUUGAACGCUGGCGGCAUGCUUUACACAUGCAAGUCGAACGGUAACAGGUUAAGCUGACGAGUGGCGAACGGGUGAGUAAUGCAUCGGAACGUGCCCGGUCGUGGGGGAUAACGCAGCGAAAGCUGCGCUAAUACCGCAUACGAUCUGAGGAUGAAAGCGGGGGACCGUAAGGCCUCGCGCGAUCGGAGCGGCCGAUGUCAGAUUAGGUAGUUGGUGGGGUAAAGGCUCACCAAGCCGACGAUCUGUAGCUGGUCUGAGAGGACGACCAGCCACACUGGGACUGAGACACGGCCCAGACUCCUACGGGAGGCAGCAGUGGGGAAUUUUGGACAAUGGGCGCAAGCCUGAUCCAGCAAUGCCGCGUGCAGGAAGAAGGCCUUCGGGUUGUAAACUAGCUUUUGUACGGAGCGAAAAGGGACUCUCUCUAAUACAGGGGGCGUCAUGACGGUACCGUAAGAAUAAG